GUCGUUUUCGGCAUAGCUUAUCGAAUACGGAUCCUCACAAAGUUAUGAUGACGAAUCGCAUCACGUUAAGCUCUGCUUGUUAAUGACAC
rnacentral:miRNA from 1 species